GGUAGAAUCCCUAAAUCUUCAACUAAAUUUAACUGUCAGUCUAAAGAGGGACAGCUCUUUAGACCCUAGGAAACAACCUUACUACAGAGAGUAAAAAAUAUUACCACCAUAGUUGGCCCAAAAGCAACCACCAAUUAAGAAAGCAUUUAUGCUCAACAUCUAACUAUC